AUUGAACGCUGGCGGCAUGCUUUACACAUGCAAGUCGAACGGUAGCGGGCCUUCGGGUGCCGACGAGUGGCGAACGGGUGAGUAAUGUAUCGGAACGUACCUUUCAGUGGGGGAUAACGUAGCGAAAGUUGCGCUAAUACCGCAUAUUCUGUGAGCAGGAAAGCAGGGGAUCGCAAGACCUUGCGCUGAUUGAGCGGCCGAUAUCAGAUUAGCUAGUUGGUGAGGUAAAGGCUCACCAAGGCGACGAUCUGUAGCGGGUCUGAGAGGAUGAUCCGCCACACUGGAACUGAGACACGGUCCAGACUCCUACGGGAGGCAGCAGUGGGGAAUUUUGGACAAUGGGGGCAACCCUGAUCCAGCCAUGCCGCGUGAGUGAAGAAGGCCUUCGGGUUGUAAAGCUCUUUCGGCCGGGAAGAAAUCGUAUCAGCUAAUACCUGGUGCGGAUGACGGUACCGGCAUAAGAAGCACCGGCUAACUUCGUGCCAGCAGCCGCGGUAACAC
rnacentral:rRNA from 1 species